GACGUAGGAGGCGAGCGUUAUCCGGAUUCACUGGGCGUAAAGCGCAUGUAGGCGGAUGUCUAAGUCGUGUGUUAAAGCCCCUGGCUCAACUGGGGGAGGUCAUGCGAGACUGGAUGACUUGAGGGCAACAGAGGCACGUGGAACUCCCGGUGUAGCGGUGGAAUGCGUAGAGAUCGGGAAGAACACCCGUGGCGAAGGCAACUCGCUGGAACGGUACUGACGCUGAGGCGCGAAAGCGUGGGGAGCGAACAGG
rnacentral:rRNA from 1 species